rnacentral:lncRNA from 1 species
UUCUAUUGCAAGCUAUUGAGUCUUUCAUUGGGAAGGCAAACCCUGAUGCUGCAAAGGAAGUGGCUUUGGUCCUGAAAUCACUGUAUGACGUUGAUGUGCUGGAAGAGGAAUUCAUUAUGAAGUGGUACCAGCAGGGCUUAGGCGGCAUGAACAAAAGCUCUUUGAUCUGGAAGAAUGCCAAGCCCUUCAUCGAAUGGCUCCAGAGUGCUGAGUCGGAGACAGAGGAAGAGUGAGUGAUGUGGGAUUUUUCUUUUAUAUCGGUAUUUUUAAAUCAGUAUGACACUUUUAAGAGUAUU